CCUACGGGAGGCAGCAGUGGGGAAUUUUGGACAAUGGGCGCAAGCCUGAUCCAGCCAUGCCGCGUGCGGGAAGAAGGCCUUCGGGUUGUAAACCGCUUUUGUCAGGGAAGAAAUCCUUUGGGUUAAUACCUCGGAGGGAUGACGGUACCUGAAGAAUAAGCACCGGCUAACUACGUGCCAGCAGCCGCGGUAAUACGUAGGGUGCGAGCGUUAAUCGGAAUUACUGGGCGUAAAGCGUGCGCAGGCGGUUAUGCAAGACAGAUGUGAAAUCCCCGGGCUCAACCUGGGAACUGCAUUUGUGACUGCAUAGCUAGAGUACGGUAGAGGGGGAUGGAAUUCCGCGUGUAGCAGUGAAAUGCGUAGAUAUGCGGAGGAACACCGAUGGCGAAGGCAAUCCCCUGGACCUGUACUGACGCUCAUGCACGAAAGCGUGGGGAGCAAACAGGAUUAGAUACCCUGGUAGUCCACGCCCUAAACGAUGUCAACUGGUUGUUGGACGGCUUGCUGUUCAGUACGAAGCUAACGCGNGAGUGACGCGNGGAGUAAGGCGCGAGUUAGUAAGUUAGAAGAAGUUAGAGNGNGAGAGNGCGAGACGACACGAGGAGGAG
rnacentral:rRNA from 1 species